rnacentral:rRNA from 1 species
UACGAAGGGAGCUAGCGUUGUUCGGAAUUACUGGGCGUAAAGGGCGCGUAGGCGGCUCUGUAAGUCAGAUGUGAAAGCCCUAGGCUUAACCUGGGAACUGCAUUUGAUACUGCAAGGCUAGAGAUCGAGAGAGGAAAGUGGAAUUACGAGUGUAGAAGUGAAAUUCGUAGAUAUUCGUAGGAACACCAGUGGCGAAAGCGACUUUCUGGCUCGAUACUGGCGCUAAAGCGCGAAAGCGUGGGGAGCAAACAGG